GCACAACAAGCUUCUUACCUCGUAGCCACACCUGAAAUAAAUCGCAAUUCUUGGAACCAAUUACUGACACAGAUUUGACGCUGAAUUGCUGAAGCAUAAAUAUCGUAUAGCAAAUAUUCUGGUCCACACCACAGAUUUGCUGGUUGUCUUUGGUCGGGUAAAGAACUAUAAAGAACUAUAAAGAGGACCUUGAAUUGAAUGUAAACCACAAAAGUCAAUGAUUACGCAUCAAAAGGGAUUUACACAUGCAGUAGAAAAACAUGGUUUGUAAAUAAAAAUAUCUGUUUUUU